CACAACCCAGGGCCUGCCCCGGUUGGCAUUCAGUGUGGAUCCACCGGGCGAACGAGAGAGCGGGGCCGACGGCCCCCCGCUCGCAAGGCUCCGUCCUGUUCACGUGUCCCCCAAGAACCCGGCCCUGCCGGCUCCCGGCAGGCGGGAGGAGCCCGUGAUGGGCGAGGUCUGAAUGCACCACGGGCCUCCAGGGUUUGGCCGUCACCUCCGCGUUCCCCAAGUGGAGACACGGGCACCGGCAUCUUUGUGGAGAGGGGGUCACCUGGCCACUAGGGGGUCCCCAAAAGAGCCGUCCUCGGGGCCUCCCUCCCCGCUCUGCCUGCACAUCCACACACCAUCCGGCUUAUCAGUCAUUCCAUAGUUUUCAUUCUUGUUUUCAUGCAAUUCUUACCAUUUAAGUCCCUUCCUCAGCUGUGCCCCGCGUAGACUCAAAGCACAAGAAACGUCUUCUGAAAGACCUCAAGAUAACGAACUAUCAGGGACUGCUGAUUGCUGAGACCCGAAUCAUCUUCAUCUCACUCGUGGGGAGAACCUGGUCCGGGGCUACCCCCGCUCUCCCAGGGCUGGCUGCCUGAGAACACGGACUCCCCCCUGGAGGGGUGAGGUGUAGGAAUAAUUUAAAACAAUGCUAAUCCUCAAAUCCUGUUUGAGUUUGGAAUGCAGCGCGAGGCCCGGCGGGCCGCAUGGGGCGCUCACCGUGUGUAAGCGAGGCCCAGGCCCCGGGCGGGGCUGAGCUCGAGGUGCCAUGCUGCCCGCACGCUGGGAGGGGAUGGGGACGGGGCACGAGGCGGUGGGACGGAUGUUUGCCCGGAGUGCUGGGUGGGGUGGCACUCAGGGUCGAGGCCACAGCCAGGCCCUCAGAGCUGGGUGCUGCGUGCUGGGGCUGCGGGGGGGCUCGCCGUGGCUCAAGCACCCCACGGGCAGGCUUGCUGGCCAGCCCGGCCCACUGCUCUCUCUUGAAGCCACCUGUCCACUGGCCUGGGCUGCGGCGGGGGCUGUGGCCCAGCAGGGGCCUUGGAAUGUUUUCACAGGAGGGCUGGAGGCUGCUGCGGGGCCGCGACUGGCCUUGACCGUCCACUUGCAGAGACCGGUGGCGGGGAGCCUGCAUGAGGACUGACCUCUGUCAUCCCGUGGUGUCACCCCUGAUUCAGGCCCUAAGCAAGCCCCAAAGGUGAACUACAGGGCGCCCAGAGCCUGCCAACAGCUGUCACCUCCCCCCAGGCUCACUGCUCAGGCCUCUGCUGUCGCUCCGCACUUCCCAUACCAGAGGGUCGGGGUCUGUGGCCCCCUUCCCAGGGCCCCACCCCCCUACCCUAUCCUGAGAGCCUUCCGUUGGCCCGCGGCAGGCCCCCACCCCGGGUGCCCCCCUCCCCCCCGCUCCCCACUCUGGGUCCUUCCUUACCCUUCCUCGGUCCAGCUCAAUACCCCCCGCCCCCUGGGAGCCGCACCCACCACCCCUGUGGAAGCCACGUGGCUCCCCCACCGACAGCACAGCCGGCCCAGGGGCCCUCUCGGCCAGCUCCACGUGGUGCCUGUGUGACCCCAGGUGAGGAAUUUGAGCAAACAUUUCUCUAGAGAAGACGUGACGGCCAACAGACACCCAGAAGGGUGCUCGCCAUCAGGGCGACGCGGAUCGGAACCGCGGUGAGAUAGCGCCGCGCGCCUGUCGCGAAGGCUCGAGUAAGAAAAGAUAAGAAACCACAAGUGUCGGCGAGGACGUGGAGAAAGGGAGCCCUCGCGCGCCGCUGGAGGGAACGCAACCUGGUGUGGCCACCACGGCUGGAGCCCAGGUGGAGGUGCCUCAGAAAGUGACAGUUCCUGCAAGACCCAGGAACUCCAGUCCUGGGGAUUUCUCCAGGGAAAAUGAAGAUGCUGAUUCAAAAAGAUACCUGCACCCCUACGUUCACUGCAGCGUUACUGACGACAGCCAAGGCAGGGCGGCGGCCGGAGGCCGCCCGCAGAAGGAGGAGGAAACCCUGCCGUCCGCAAGGACAGCUGGAUCUCGAGGGCACCACGGCAAAUGGCAAAUGCCCCAGAUUUCACUCGUGUGGAAACCGCACAUACACGCGAAACCAAGCUUGUGGGUUCGGAGAAC